GCCUAGUUAGCUUAGUUGGUAGUGCGUCUACCUUGCAAGCGCUAGGUCGCGGGUUCGAUUCCCGCCCGGGGCG
rfam:Asian citrus Psyllid, Diaphorina citri - Florida Strain, whole genome shotgun sequence.